ensembl:lncRNA
AUUUAUAAAGAUUUAAUUCAAUCCAAAUCAAUAAACGUUAGUAAUCUAAGAGGGGUCAUUUUUUGCUGGGCAUACAAAGAGACAAUUCAAUAACACAAUGACAACAGCAAGAACAUACCACAGCAUACCACGACAUGACAUUUAACACACAGAACAACUUCAGACUGGUCCAGCUAGAACAACUUCAGACUGGUCCAGCUAGAACAAUUUCAGACUGGUCCAGGUGAAACAACUUCAGACUGGUCCAGCUAGAACAACUUCAGACUGGUCCAGCUAGAACAACUUCAGAACAACUUCAGACUGGUCCAGGUAAAGAACUUCAGACUGGUCCAGCUAGAACAACUUCAGACUGGUCCAGCUAGAACAACUUCAGACAGGUCCAGCUAGAACAACUUCAGACAGGUCCAGCUAGAACAACUUCAGACGGGUCCAGCUAGAACAACUUCAGACUGCUAGUGCAGUUACAAUUCUCAAUUGUUACAUGAUUGUAAAUCUGAUAUUACUUAUAAGUUACAUACGCUUUAUUUCACAUAUAAACAUGUUUAUAUUGCCUGCUGUUUUGAAAACACGGCCCCUCAUUACAGACGUAGGCUCAAGUGGUUUUACUGUAGAGAUAGCCAGACUGACACCGUGAAGUGAAAUGGAACAGAGUUUGGAUUCAGGCUACUAAUUCACCUCUGUUUGUGAGCGAAACCUAAAGACUUCUACACGGUCAUUUGUACCAGGACAUAGAGAUAGAGAAAGAUAGGGCCUACCUGGACAAAGAGCCAGCGGUCAUUCGUACCUGUCUGUGUCAUUGAAACCAGGGUAAUGUUCCACACUGUUGCUCCUCUUUCAGCCAGCAACUUGAAGCUGCCUCUCCCUUACCAUACACAAUUACACACCUGGAGACAGACUACCGACUGUACAUUGCAGUCAGUAAAUGUUAAAAGGUAGAACAAUUAUGAAGAAGAAAAAGCUAUAAAUGCAUGGAUACUGGAGUAUUUUCUUUGUCUAAAUGUCUUUUCAAAUGUGUCUCAUUUCAUGCAAGACCCUCCGCCACUGUCUCAUAGACUUGAUGAUUGAACUCUCUUUUUUGAUACCACCCCCUUAAUCAUUUCUUAAAUGUUGCCCACAAAGAAUGUUAGUUUAAAAAAAUGUGUUGUGAUUUGACCAUAUACAGAGCAUAUUUACAAAAUAAAACUGAAUUCAAACAACAAACACAACAUAAUGAAAGCUUGAUUUGGUGACAGAUUCAGGACGUACUUCACUAGAAUAUGCUAUACCCCGCCCCCGACCUUCUGGGUUCCGC